rnacentral:rRNA from 1 species
UACAGAGGUGCCGAGCGUUAGGCGGAAUCACUGGGCUUAAAGCGUGUGUAGGCGGACCGGUAAGUACCUUGUGAAAUCCCACGGCUCAACCGUGGAACUGCUGGGUAUACUGCCGGUCUUGAGCAGCUUAGGGGCAGACGGAACAAGUGGUGGAGCGGUGAAAUGCGUAGAUAUCACUUGGAACGCCGACGGUGAAAACAGUCUGCUGGGAGCUCGCUGACGCUGAGACACGAAAGCCAGGGGAGCAAACGGG